rnacentral:rRNA from 1 species
AGGGCACCACCAGGAGUGGAGCCUGCGGCUUAAUUUGACUCAACACGGGAAAUCUCACCAGGCCCGGACACCGGAAGGAUUGACAGAUUGAGAGCUCUUUCUUGAUUCGGUGGGUGGUGGUGCAUGGCCGUUCUUAGUUGGUGGAGCGAUUUGUCUGGUUAAUUCCGAUAACGAACGAGACUCUGGCCUACUAACUAGACGAUAUAUCCUUUAUGGGUUUAUCGCAGCUUCUUAGAGGGACGGGCGGCGUUUAGCCGCACGAGAAUGAGCAAUAACAGGUCUGUGAUGCCCUUAGAUGUUCUGGGCUGCACGCGCGCUACACUGAAGAAAUCAGCGUGUGCUCCCUACCCGAAAGGGUUGGGAAACCCGUUGAACCUUCUUCGUGAUGGGGAUUGGAGAUUGCAAUUAUUCUCCAUGAACGAGGAAUUCCCAGUAGGCGCGAGUCAUAAGCUUGCGUCGAUUACGUCCCUGCCCUUUGUACACACCGCCCGUCGCUACUACCGAUCGAGUGAUUUAGUG